CUGUAGGACACCAGAUAAAUUUGUAAAUGUCACUUAAAGAUUAAAAACAACUCUGGAAUUCAAACUUCUAGAUGACAGUGUAAAGUGCCUGGUAAAUGAUUAGUAAUAAUGUCUCUGGAGAACACACGAAGUGUGUCAGUGCACCAACUUGGAACAAGAUUUCCAGGACAAGAAAAAGCAUCAGCCACACAUGUCCAGCUGUCAGAUCUCCUUCAUCAAGGAAUAUUUGCGAGACUCAUAAAAGCAUCCGAAGAGAGAGAGAGUCGGUCGUUCUAUCCUCUGAGCAAGGAAAGAGAAGCUUGUGCAUGGCCGGUGCAUGUUCCAGAGGAAGAAAGGCAGUGGGUGAGAGGGACACUUUGGGCCAGGCAACCAGUCCCAGGAGCACCCAGAACUGCAGCCCCGCCCCGUGGCCUGCGUCUAGGCCUCUGCCAGAUCUCCUGGGCCUCUCUGCAAAGAGCUCAAGCACUGCUGGUUUCCACAGCUUUCGAACUCAGCCCGAAGCUUCCUCGGCUACACUGAGGUGCUGGCCCUGCAUCCCUGAGUCACAGCACACACCGACCACUCCAGAGCCGCUCCCCGGCUGGCAUCAUAUGCAUGGCCAGUGUCUACCAUCUCCCACCGAAGACUUUGCCCAGCUCAAGACCAAGGAGACCAGCCGUGAAGACAUAGAAUUGAAUGGAGACAUUGUACCCACCCUGACCAGCUCAGAGCCAUGGCCCAGGACAGACUACAGCCUAUCAGGAACCAGCACCACAGAGCAGGUCGUGGUGCAGAACCUGCCUGAAACUCUCAAAUAGAGACUCUUGCAGUCUGAACGGUCAACGAUGCCUUCGUAUUUCUGAAGCAGUUUUACAACUUUCUGAAAUAUUAAGAAUAUCCUCAUGCAAAACACCUGUUCUGUACUAGGCAAUCCGGCGAACUGACUCAAGAAAGACAGAAAUGCUGUCAAAUUGCACAGAGCACACUUCCAAGUCAUGUGGGCUUCUGGGGGGAAUGAAAGGUCUGCCACCCUUCCCAGGGGGCAGCUGCCAGCGUGGAAAGGGACUGGCUUCUUGUGAACAACACAGGCCCUUGCAGAAGCGUGAGCGAGAGAACGAAUAUCCAGGCAGACAGUCACCAGAUCAAACAUAAAGACGGAGCCCUGACCCCUGGCCUGCACCCCCAAAAAGCCUUCUCUAUAGCAAGCAGUGGAAGUCAAAGUUGAAGCCACUUCACUCCCCUGAGUGAACAUCCAGACAGUAAUCUCCAACGAGUGGCCCCAAAUGGCUGUGACUUCGCUGAGUAACAGACAGCCUCUCUAAUGUUAGUCCCUCCUCCUAACUUAGGACUGACUGAAGCAAUUAUGCUCCUCUGACCCUCCUGCAGGGUGCCAGGUUUCUAGCAGGCUGACCUCAGCUCCCCCAGGCCAGCGCCCUCCGUCCAGGACCCUCGAAGCCUCUUUGCCCACUACAAAGCCCUCCCGCACCCGCGCCUGACCUUCAGGCCCUCUCUCCUCUCCAGUGACGCUGCCAACUCCAGUGCCCUAGCCAGCAAUUAACUCCAUUUCACAGGCUAUCUUGGCUCUGCUCCAAACGGCCAGAGGCUGCUUUUGACAACUUGAUGCUUCUAAGUGACGCUGCCAGAAAGGCCACGGGCAUAAUGGUCAGGUGGAACUCUGAGACCUCAGCCCACACGGGGCUUUUGUUGGAUGUGAAUUCCAUUUGAUGCUGGUUUUGUUUAAUAACAAUUUUUAAAGCAGGCUUCUGAAAAGGUCCAACCAGAAAUGAUGCGAACUGGGAAUAUCUCCUAGGUGCAAAGUCACCUGUCACAUGACACCUGCCCUCCAGAGUGGCUCCCUUCAGUCGCUCAGCAGCACUUUCACUGGACGCUUCUGGGACGUGACACGGGAUGGCUCCCUGGGCCCUGUCUCUCUGAGGCUCCUUCCAGCAAGCCCGAAGCUCCUCACCAUCCAGUGCCUGUCACUUCUGCUGAUCUGCUAUUGCUUCUGGGCCAAGCUCAUUCAGGCCCCAGUGUCACACAUGAAGCCAGGCCUAGUGGUGCACACUUGCACUCCCAGUACCCUGGGAGGCUGAGGCAGGAGGAUUCCAAGUUUUGGUUUCCCCACCACCAAUACCCAUUUCUAAGCUCUCAGCUUUGCUCUUAACUAAAGCCAAGACAUUGCCCAGUCUCCUCCACCAAAUGGGCCCCACUGCCUUGUUCAUAAGAUAAAUGGGAAGACUAAAUUAUUUCCAACUUCCCACUGAUUUUUAAAACCAUGUAGUGAAAUAAGAGGAGAGACUGUCCCUGUGCAAUACAGCUGGUGAAAGGCAAAGCCCGGCAAGACCAGAGCGAUGCUGUGUCCCAGGCACCAUGGGGUCAGCUCUGCUGCCCACUCCCCAAAAAGACUCUUGCAGAAUACUGAAGUCAAACUCAUCAGAAUGCUCACUCCUACAAGAUCUGAGCAUGUUUAAGAAGGCAUGAAGUCUGAUCAAAAAGCUACUGUGAUUGUACAAUUAUUUUUGAACAAAUUUAUUACAGUAAAAGACCCAUUGCCAUUCGUACUCCCCCUGAGUUUGAACACAGUUAUGUCAUUGUCCUUGCCACACUCUGAAGCAACUCUGGAGUCCUCCUUCCUGAGCAUCUCUUUGUGGGUGCCUGGAUGCUAUAAAUUGAUUCAAAACCUUUACAGCAGGUUCUGUUAAUUCAAAACAUGACACUGUGUCCUCAUCCACCUUAGGCACAAGGUUUGGCACCCUGCCACUUCUGGUUCUUCUAUAAAGUCAAAGUGACCAUGAAAGGUCGUGUGUCUUAGCAAUGGAUCUUUUACUAUAGUAUUUUUAAAAUGUAAACAUUCACCAUAGAUUUUGAUCAUGCAAGACUUUGACUGAAAGGGAACAGCACAGCAUCAGCUGAAACCACCCAGCACCUCCUAUUCAAAGGCUGAGGCUCAACCCAAGGGUCAUGAGAGCUCAACAUUCUGUGGAAGAACCGAAUAUUCAUUUCAUCUGAAAGACUUUAUCAGUGUUAUUUUGCAAGCAUACAUUCUUAAUUUUUAAGGAAACAGCUGACUUAAUCAUCAUGAUGUGGAGAAUACUGAAAAUGUUGAAUUUUGAGAUUCUCUCUUUCUGUCUGCAGGUUGCUAUGGAGCCUAUGGCCCCCAAAGCUCAAUGCCAUCUUUAUCUUUGACUUCUUGCAGGGUCUGUUAUGGACAUGCACCAAGCCUGACUCUCACAGAAUAAGGUCCCAAGCUCUUGUUCAUGCAUUUUUAAUCUUUGAAAUGCUCCCAACAUUUCAAAACAGCAUAAAGAACGACCACCCCAGCGUGGCCUCCAGGGCUCCCUCCUCAGCCUCCCAGCCCUGGGCCCCUUCCUGUCCCUUCCUUUUUUGAUACCAAUGCCUGAAUGUUCCUCCUCCUUCAUUAUCAGUUUUCUCCAGCUACACAUUUCUUCCUCCUGGCCUGCAGAAGUGAUGCUGCUGGCCCUCUAAGCUCACAGCAAUCUUCGUUAUCUCUUUCACCAAUACCACAUGAUGCUGUGAUAUUCGGUCCAUGUAUGUCUCUUACUCAAAGCUCUGAGAGGGCAGGGACUGGGUCUGUUUUGCUCCACACUCCAGCCCAGGAAUCAGCAGUCUGUGUCUGCAGCUAGAUGCUGGAUGUCUGUGUUUUCUCUGCUUGUUGAUGAGCCCGCAGAAGCCCAGUUAGAUCUAUUAUGCUUUGCUGCAGAGCAGAUUCUCAGGAUUGAUAAAUAGUUAUGAACCCUCUGAACCCACUAGAUUCCAGUGCAAAAGCAUUUCUCCAUUGGAACGAGCAUCCCACACCAUGAGCACAAGACCCAGCACAAGAUGCAUACCCGGAAACGUCUGAGUUAGCGAAAUACAGGACUGUUGAGCCUGUGACAAUCCUGUUCAGCCCUGGCUGGCCUUCAUCUACCUUGGCCAGAUCUGGCCUUUCAAGGGCUUCUCACUAAAUAAUUAAUUGAAGCUCAUUGGAGGCUUUGAGCUCAACAAACAGUCCAGCUUGGCUUGACUUAUGCUCUUAUCUGGUAAGAAUUUCUUUUCCACAAAUAGCUCAAUUCCCAGGAUGAACCCGAGGCACUGAUGGAGAGGGGAAGGUGACAUGUUCAAGGCCCUAGCCUGAGAUAAUGUGAUUUCCCCAUUUUAAUAUUGCCACCAUUGUGCACAAUUAAAAGGCUGGCUGUUCCACAGGAAAUGGGAAUUAUUUGAGGCAAAUGAAGAUGCCCCCACACUGCCCUGCAUCAACACUGCCUGACCUGGCACCUGUGUAAGUCGUGACUCCUGCCUCUAAUUCUGUCCUGGGAUUUCACUGGUGGAAGAUCCCUUCGUAUAAAAUUCUUUAUUUUUUAAACUGACACAUAAUAUCCGUACACAGUUAUGGGCACAUGAUCAUUUGAUAUCUACAUUCAGCAUAUGACAAUCAGAUCAGAGAAGCAGCACUUCCGUCUUCUCCGACAUUUAUCAGACGUUUAUCAUUUCUAUGUUUGGGGAACUUGUGGACUCCUCCUUUUUAGCUAUUUGGAAGUAUAUCACAAAUCGUUGCAGACUGUAGGCUCCCUCCUGGAUAUAGAAGACAGGAACUAUCUCCUCCUAUCUGACUGUUUGGCUCCUAUUAUCUCAACUCUGCAUCGCCUGUCCCCUCCACCCCCUUCCAGUCUCUGGUGAGACUCCUCCAUGCCUUCUCUGACAUGCGUAAGUUGGCAUUUCUCAAAGUAUAGGUUUGGGCUGCUUGCCCUCAAGGUGAUCAGUGGAGAAAAGUUUCCUAGAUCAAAAUAAUGUGGGGAUCUAAGGGCUGCUCUGAACCUGACUGCAGCUCUUUGCUUCAGCUCUUCGCUCACCCAGCACCUCCCCAGCCAGCUGUGGAAUCCUCAGUACCUGUGACUGUGACACGAACUUCAGAAGACAGGGAAGCAGAGCCCAGAGCAGAAGCUGGCAAGGGCUCUCAGUGCAGAGUCCAAUGGGAAGUCUUACACUUUUCAAGGCACACUGGGCUUCUGUGGCUUGCACAUGCUUUUACUUAGUGGAUUUUUGCUGUUGUUUUUCUGCCAAUGCUUUAAAGUAGUUUGUCCCAAGCAGGCCAAAGGCUGGUUUUUCCAGAGCAGCAGCCCUUCACCCAUCUCUGCUGCAGAAAAUCCUUCCCUGGGGCCUGGGAUUUAUUUCAGUGGUUCUGCCACCUGUCUCGCAAAUGCAAGGUCCCAAGUUCGAUCCUGGUACCAAAAAGAAAAAAGCAAAAAAGAAAGAAAGAAAAGAAAAAUCCUUCCCUGGUAACCAGCUGCCAGGCUGGCCCAAGCAGAACAAGCUUCCACCACACUGAGUCACCCUCGAUCAUCUUGUACUCCACCCUUCAGACAUCCAGGGUGAUCUUGUUACCAUGAAAGCAGUUCCUCAGCCAUUUGCUAAGAAUAAGCUUUAUUCUAAGAUGCUAAUGACACCUCAGUCCAUCCCUGUGCCUGCAUUGGGUGGUGCGUGGGUGGCCACACCAGCCCCAAAGGGACCCUAGGGAAAGUGGUAGCAACCUCACCUCCCCUCCACAGAACCCUCACUGCUGGGACCCCUCCCAAGAAGCUGCUGGCCGAAACCCAUAGCUGGCUGUACCUACUUCACAGCAGCAUGCAGGGCGGGAGGUCACUGCCCGGGCCACCUGCUCUGAAGGCAUCUCUAGCAGCUCCCAUGUCCUCUCUGCAAGCUUUUCCCACAGAGCUUGGCCCAACCCAAGGCUGUGGAAUCAUAAACACCUGGGUUUAUCUUGUUUACAUGGUAACACUGUUUGUGUGAUCUUUAACAGGUUAACAAAUCUCUUUAACUCUGUUUCUUCAUCUGAAAUGUGGCACCAUCACAUCCCUUGCUGUGCUGCAGGGAGUGGUCAUGGAGGCCAGGUAGGAAACCACCCAGAGAGGGCUGAACCUUCUUCCCCCGACCCUCCACGGUACCCCCAGGAACGCGCCUUGAUCCCCAGGACGAAGUCUGAGAUCGUUGCACUUAAAAAGAACAACAGAACGUGAAACAAAUGAAAAAUCACUAGGCUGGGCACAGGACGACGGGCACCCUCUCAACCCGGGAGCUGGGAGAGCUCAAGGUGACACGGAGCUGAAAUCCCAGCAGGAGGAACCUCGGACCUGCUGCAGAACAGAAGGAAGCAGAUUUGGGCAGAACGAGCAGCAGGAACAAAGGCAGAGAGAACCCAGGGCCCAGGAACGGGUGGCAGUGGCCUGCAGGCAUGCAGAGCAGGUGGCACAGGGGCAGAGGCCGGGUGUGCUCCCAGGCAGGGGGCAGCUGGCUCCUGUGAACACAGGCAACCCCCAGCCCUCCCCUCGCCACCUUCUCUCUGCUGGCUGGGCACCCCUCACCCCACCACUGUGGCCACAAAGCAGGAAGCACAGCCACUGUGUCCAGGACCUGCCUCCGCUUUUAGGUUACAGCCCCCGGGAGCCCUGACCCUCUCCUUACUCUGUUCCCAUGGUGUGCAAAACACUUGCCUGCAAACUGCCCUGAGCUCUGCCUUCAACCUGGUCCUUGGAAAUAAAUCUAAACACAGGUGAAGCUGGUGUAGGCCACCGUCCAUUAUGUUUCCCCUUCAAAGACGGGCAGAGCCCCUCCUGCUAAAGCUGCGUUGCUGCAAUGGAUAAAGAGCACUGUUAGCUCUAGACCCCAAAUUAUUCAUUUAUUUAAACUGAAAAAUAACUC
ensembl:lncRNA